AUCAUCAUCAUCAUUGCAGUAUACUUUCGACGCACCCACAUAAUCAUCCAUAUAUCUUCUGAAUCUACAAAGAAAAUAACAAAAUGAACUAUUAACACACAAUGAUCUGACAUCAUGCAACUAGUGACAGAGGCAGGUUAUUAGUCACGUACAAAUUUUGAAGUCCAUGCAAUUUUUGUUAUACAUAAAAAAUUACUCGCAUACAUAGCAGAUGGAAAUGCAUUCAUAACUUACCUCAAGGUGAUCAUUGACCCGUUACUAACAGUUUUGUUACCUUUUCUUUUAGGGGUUCAGGUUACAUACUUAAACUAUAUGAGCCUAAUAUGAGCAUCUUAGUGUAUGGCAAAAAGUAAGUGUUAACAUUUGCUUUGAUUGCUUCCAAUGUUCAACAUAUCAAAUGGGACAAAGAUACACAUUUUGUACGGCAUGCAGUGCGAAAUCUGUUGGAGCAGCACGAACCUGCACCAAUUGUUGGCGUCCCUUCUCCCACCUCCUCGUGAGAUCCUGGUCCAAGCAUGAGUAAAAUAUAUCAGAGUACAAAUAGACUUUCAGUUUGUGCUUGUAAACAUAAUUUAAAUAUUAGUUACACACCAGUUGUGGUAAAGGGACUAAUUAAGUUAUUCAACACAUCAUGCUGGUUAACAUGGUAAUUCGUGUUUGGGUAAAAA
rnacentral:lncRNA from 1 species